UCAGAACGAACGCUGGCGGCAGGCCUAACACAUGCAAGUCGAGCGGCACUUCGGGUGUAGCGGCGGACGGGUUAGUAACGCGUGGGAACGUGCCCUUCUCUACGGAAUAGCCUCGGGAAACUGAGAGUAAUACCGUAUACGCCCUUUGGGGGAAAGAUUUAUCGGAGAAGGAUCGGCCCGCGUCUGAUUAGAUAGUUGGUGGGGUAAUGGCCUACCAAGUCUACGAUCAGUAGCUGGUUUUAGAGGAUGAUCAGCAACACUGGGACUGAGACACGGCCCAGACUCUACGGGAGGCAGCAGUGGGGAAUCUUAGACAAUGGGCGCAAGCCUGAUCUAGCCAUGCCGCGUGAGUGAUGAAGGCCUUAGGGUCGUAAAGCUCUUUCGCCAGAGAUGAUAAUGACAGUAUCUGGUAAAGAAACCCCGGCUAACUCCGUGCCAGCAGCCGCGGUAAUACGGAGGGGGUUAGCGUUGUUCGGAAUUACUGGGCGUAAAGCGCACGUAGGCGGAUCAGAAAGUUGGGGGUGAAAUCCCAGGGCUCAACCCUGGAACGGCCUCCAAAACUCCUGGUCUUGAGUUCGAGAGAGGUGAGUGGAAUUCCGAGUGUAGAGGUGAAAUUCGUAGAUAUUCGGAGGAACACCAGUGGCGAAGGCGGCUCACUGGCUCGAUACUGACGCUGAGGUGCGAAAGUGUGGGGAGCAAACAGGAUUAGAUACCCUGGUAGUCCACACCGUAAACGAUGAAUGCCAGUCGUCGGGUAGUAUACUGCUCGGUGACACACCUAACGGAUUAAGCAUUCCGCCUGGGGAGUACGGUCGCAAGAUUAAAACUCAAAGGAAUUGACGGGGGCCCGCACAAGCGUGGAGCAUGUGGUUUAAUUCGAAGCAACGCGCAGAACCUUACCAACCCUUGACAUCCCUGGACCGCCGGAGAGAUCCGGUUUUCUCGUAAGAGACCAGGUGACAGGUGCUGCAUGGCUGUCGUCAGCUCGUGUCGUGAGAUGUUCGGUUAAGUCCGGCAACGAGCGCAACCCACAUCCCUAGUUGCCAGCAGGUCAAGCUGGGCACUCUAUGGAAACUGCCCGUGAUAAGCGGGAGGAAGGUGUGGAUGACGUCAAGUCCUCAUGGCCCUUACGGGUUGGGCUACACACGUGCUACAAUGGCAGUGACAAUGGGUUAAUCCCAAAAAGCUGUCUCAGUUCGGAUUGGGGUCUGCAACUCGACCCCAUGAAGUCGGAAUCGCUAGUAAUCGCGUAACAGCAUGACGCGGUGAAUACGUUCCCGGGCCUUGUACACACCGCCCGUCACACCAUGGGAGUUGGGUUCACCCGAAGGCCGUGCGC
rnacentral:rRNA from 1 species